CUAGCUUCAUCAAUGUCCAGCCUCCAGAGGGCCUUCCCAGGAGGGUAGGCAUUAAUGCAAGCAAGUGGUGGUCUGCAUAGCUGAGCAGAGUCUGCUGUGUUUCUGAUAAAUUGUGAAGAGCCAUAGACCUUUGCCUAAUACAAGGAACAACACAGAACCAAGCAAACGGGCUCCCCCAGGAUUGUUGUGGAACAUCUAUAGUUGAAUAUAAAAGUUUAUAUGUUCAAUUUUAUGGAGAAAAUAUCCUUUUUCAAAGGAAUUAAGAUUGAAAAUUACUGGGUUAUUUUUUACUGCCUAGGAUGGAAGCAAACAAAAAUAUGGAAAGAAAAUAUUUAACUCAUAGAAAUGCAGUCUAGAGGUUAGUUCAAACGACAGACUGUACCAAUAAGUGCAGAUGGGCAAGUAACAGAAUUCCUCUGGGAAAGAGGCAACAAUGUGUGACCUGCUGUCUACCCAGGUAACAAAGCUGCAUGUAACGUACGUUUAGGAAAUAUUUUGGUGUCUUUUAUUUUCCCUAUAUGAAAAGAGAAAUAUUUAGAGUGGGUAAGUACAGAGCCAUUACAU
rnacentral:lncRNA from 1 species